GAGCGACCGGUGCUUGCACUGGUCAAUCUAGUGGCGAACGGGUGAGUAACACGUGGGUAACCUGCCCAUCAGAGGGGGAUAACAUUCGGAAACGGAUGCUAAAGCCGCAUAGGUCUUCGAACCGCAUGGUUUGAAGAGGAAAAGAGGCGCGAGCUUCUGCUGAUGGAUGGACCCGCGGUGCAUUAGCUAGUUGGUGAGGUAACGGCUCACCAAGGCCGUGAUGCAUAGCCGACCUGAGAGGGUGAUCGGCCACAUUGGGACUGAGACACGGCCCAAACUCCUACGGGAGGCAGCAGUAGGGAAUCUUCCGCAAUGGACGCAAGUCUGACGGAGCAACGCCGCGUGAGUGAAGAAGGUUUUCGGAUCGUAAAACUCUGUUGUUAGAGAAGAACAAGUGCUAGAGUAACUGUUAGCGCCUUGACGGUAUCUAACCAGAAAGCCACGGCUAACUACGUGCCAGCAGCCGCGGUAAUACGUAGGUGGCAAGCGUUGUCCGGAUUUAUUGGGCGUAAAGCGAGCGCAGGCGGUUCCUUAAGUCUGAUGUGAAAGCCCCCGGCUCAACCGGGGAGGGUCAUUGGAAACUGGGGAACUUGAGUGCAGAAGAGGAGAGUGGAAUUCCAUGUGUAGCGGUGAAAUGCGUAGAUAUAUGGAGGAACACCAGUGGCGAAGGCGACUCUCUGGUCUGUAACUGACGCUGAGGCUCGAAAGCGUGGGUAGCAAACAGGAUUAGAUACCCUGGUAGUCCACGCCGUAAACGAUGAGUGCUAAGUGUUGGAGGGUUUCCGCCCUUCAGUGCUGCA
rnacentral:rRNA from 1 species